rnacentral:rRNA from 1 species
CGUGUAGGCGGCCCGGCACGUCCGUCGCUGAAAGCCCCCGGCUCAACCGGGGAAGUGGCGUGGAUACGACCGGGCUGGAGGGGGAUAGGGGGAUCGGGAACUUCCGGUGGAGCGGUGAAAUGCGUUGAGAUCGGAAGGAACGCCCGUGGCGAAAGCGCGGUCCUGGAUCCCACCUGACGCUGAGACGCGAAAGCUAGGGUAGCGAACG